CUUUUACUUUCAGUUCUUAGUAUUUUGGGGUCUGUUUUUUUUUUCCUCUCUCAAAAUUAAAACAAUAGAUUUGUUUCAAAUCUGUUGUUUUUAAAAUACAUAUUAAACAUUUACUCAAGCAUUUUGUAGUUUUUAUAUUAAAGAGAGAAGAAAAAUUUUAAAUUUCUUAUGUCUUGACAAGUAUUUAAAUUGUCAGAUGAUAUUUGUAUUAACUUUUUUUUCCCCUCUUAGGUUUUCUUCUAUUUUCAUAGCCAGCCAGAACAAUGUUCUACGCACAUUUUGUACUCAGUAAAAGAGGGCCUCUGGCCAAAAUUUGGCUAGCGGCCCAUUGGGAUAAGAAGCUAACCAAAGCCCAUGUGUUCGAGUGUAAUUUAGAGAGCAGCGUGGAGAGUAUCAUCUCACCAAAGGUGAAAAUGGCAUUACGGACAUCAGGACAUCUCUUACUGGGAGUAGUUCGAAUCUAUCACAGGAAAGCCAAAUACCUUCUUGCAGACUGUAAUGAAGCAUUCAUUAAGAUAAAGAUGGCUUUUCGGCCAGGUAUUGUUGAACU
rnacentral:sRNA from 1 species